CAAAUAUAUAACUAAGAAAGUAUUUCAUUUACAUUGAAAAAAUAAUGAGAAAUCAUUUUAUUUGA
rnacentral:tRNA from 1 species